GUCCAGGGAGCUCAGCUGGUAGAGCAGGAGACUCGCAGCCUCAGGGUCAUGGGUUCAAGCCCCACAUUGGGCA